UCUUUGUUUCUUACAGUCGAAAUUCUAUCUUUGAGUUUCUCCUCUCUUUCUAAUUUUUCUUAUAGUUUCUACUAGUCUUCUAACCUUUGAUUGUGUUUGAACAAACGAAGUUGAUGCUCUACAUGCUGAAUAAUUAGAAGUAGAUAGAUACAUCUUUGUAAUUUUGCAUUUAUGAAUUUUCUUGAAUAAUUUCUUUUUGGAUUGUGGGGAUUACACUCUGGCAAGCAAUGUGUUUGAUUUAAUUAACAAUAAAAAUAUCUUAGCAAGAAAGAGUCAAUAAGAUAAGUCAUUAUGUCACCUAAGAUCCUCAGUCAAAAAGAAUACAAUUAAUCAAUUUGCAAGCAAAUCAACUAUAAGUUCUGAAAUGGGUAAUAAAUAAUUUGCUUCAAAAAAAUGAAUAAAUCUCAAAUAGAUACCAUAAUUCUAUACCUAAGAUUUCACAACAAAAAAGUUAAAUUAGACCAACUAGCUACACAGUAAACCAUCUACAAGCUGCUAACAAUCAUGAGAAACUCAGCUUGAAAAAAUAAAAAAGAAAAACAACCAUCCAAAAUCUUUCUUAGCUAGCAAGAGAAAAGGUUUAAUUCCCAUUUCUAUUGAUCUUAGGGUCGUGCAUAAUCCGAUGACUUAAACAUUGUAAAUUUUUCUUCUUUUUAACAGUUCAUUACAAAAUAUAAAUACUCCCUCAUAGUACUUUGGGAAAAUUGUUUUAGUGGACAUAAAGAUGUUCAGCAUAAAUAUGGUUGAUGGGUCAAAAGAUGAUACUGAUUAAAUUUGUUGCUCUAUGUAGAAUUAGUUUAUAUGUUGCACCACUAUACUAUAGCUAAAUAAGAGUAUGUCCUUAAAUUGGGUUGUUGUUUACUUUGGAUUUCUUCGAAUUUCUACUCAGUAGCUAAAUAGAUGUAAUCAAUUAUAUACUAAUGCACAAUUUUAGUAUCAUCUUAACUCUUAGUUAAAAUGUGAUUCCAUUUCAUUAUUUUUUUCUAUCCUUAUCUUAUUUUUAUUUAAUUUUGAUCGAUUUGGUGUUUCUUGCGGCUGCAUUAUUGAUUUGGUCAAAUUUUAUUUGGUUAAUAUGUGUUUUUCAAUGUUAAUGGGUUAACAUCGAGAUCUAAUAAUGAUGUUGGCAUGCUUAUGGCGAGUAAAAGUAUCCAAAUCGACUAAUUAAGGAAGAAUUUGGAUCACUAAUACAGACUCUGAUCAUAAUUACUAAAUAAAAGGGCGAGAGGUGUGAAAAUCAAAGAAAGAACAUCAAACAACUUUUUCCAACAGGUGCAGACUUGAUAGUUGACAUUAACUGAAAAAUUAAGAUCCAAACUCUUAAGAUUGUGGUGAUUGAGACCUGCACAAAUAUUUCCUAUAAAAAGUAAAAGGACCAAAAGAAUGGCCAAGUGUGGACGAAUCAAGACGACCUCGCCGAGCAAAGUUCAAAGUGAGAUAGUUAAUCUAGCUGAUAUCUCCUUUGAAGGAAGAGAGACAACAAAUCAAACUGGAAAGGGUGUAGCAACAAAUUUUUUAAAUAUUUGGAUCUAUAAAAGAAUAGAGAUCUCAUUGAAAGCUAAUAGGUUGAAGGCAUUGUAGAGAGUUGUUGCCUUAACUGCUCUUAUCAAAUUUUCUUGAUGGUUACUACAUAGAACUCAACACAGAUUUGUAAGUUAUCGGUAUAUCCUUUUCAAUCGUAAGUUUUUUUUAUAGAGUUCCCAUUAAAUGUUUAGAUACACAUUACUUUUAAUGUUUUGAGGCUUACAAAAAUGACAAGUUUCUUUACAUUUGCCUGAAUUGAAGAUUCCUUCCACCA